rnacentral:rRNA from 1 species
AUUGAACGCUGGCGGCAUGCCUUACACAUGCAAGUCGAACGGCAGCACGGAGCUUGCUCUGGUGGCGAGUGGCGAACGGGUGAGUAAUAUAUCGGAACGUACCCUAGAGUGGGGGAUAACGUAGCGAAAGUUACGCUAAUACCGCAUACGAUCUAAGGAUGAAAGUGGGGGAUCGCAAGACCUCAUGCUCGUGGAGCGGCCGAUAUCUGAUUAGCUAGUUGGUAGGGUAAAAGCCUACCAAGGCAUCGAUCAGUAGCUGGUCUGAGAGGACGACCAGCCACACUGGAACUGAGACACGGUCCAGACUCCUACGGGAGGCAGCAGUGGGGAAUUUUGGACAAUGGGCGAAAGCCUGAUCCAGCAAUGCCGCGUGAGUGAAGAAGGCCUUCGGGUUGUAAAGCUCUUUUGUCAGGGAAGAAACGGUGAAAGCUAAUAUCUUUUGCUAAUGACGGUACCUGAAGAAUAAGCACCGGCUAACUGCGUGCCAGCAGCCGCGGUAAUACGUAGGGUGCAAGCGUUAAUCGGAAUUACUGGGCGUAAAACGUGCGCAGGCGGUUUUGUAAGUCUGAUGUGAAAUCCCCGGGCUCAACCUGGGAAUUGCAUUGGAGACUGCAAGGCUAGAAUCUGGCAGAGGGGGGUAGAAUCCCACGUGUAGCAGUGAAAUGCGUAGAUAUGUGGAGGAACACCGAUGGCGAAGGCAGCCCCCUGGGUCAAGAUUGACGCUCAUGCGCGAAAGCGUGGGGAGCAAACAGGAUUAGAUACCCUGGUAGUCCACGCCCUAAACGAUGUCUACUAGUUGUCGGGUCUUAAUUGACUUGGUAACGCAGCUAACGCGUGAAGUAGACCGCCUGGGGAGUACGGUCGCAAGAUUAAAACUCAAAGGAAUUGACGGGGACCCGCACAAGCGGUGGAUGAUGUGGAUUAAUUCGAUGCAACGCGAAAAACCUUACCUACCCUUGACAUGGCUGGAAUCCUUGAGAGAUCAGGGAGUGCUCGAAAGAGAACCAGUACACAGGUGCUGCAUGGCUGUCGUCAGCUCGUGUCGUGAGAUGUUGGGUUAAGUCCCGCAACGAGCGCAACCCUUGUCAUUAGUUGCUACGAAAGGGCACUCUAAUGAGACUGCCGGUGACAAACCGGAGGAAGGUGGGGAUGACGUCAAGUCCUCAUGGCCCUUAUGGGUAGGGCUUCACACGUCAUACAAUGGUACAUACAGAGCGCCGCCAACCCGCGAGGGGGAGCUAAUCGCAGAAAGUGUAUCGUAGUCCGGAUUGUAGUCUGCAACUCGACUGCAUGAAGUUGGAAUCGCUAGUAAUCGCGGAUCAGCAUGUCGCGGUGAAUACGUUCCCGGGUCU